rnacentral:rRNA from 1 species
AACGCCCGAUGGAGGGGGAUAACUACUGGAAACGGUAGCUAAUACCGCAUAACGUCGCAAGACCAAAGAGGGGGACCUUCGGGCCUCUUGCCAUCGGAUGUGCCCAGAUGGGAUUAGCUAGUAGGUGGGGUAACGGCUCACCUAGGCGACGAUCCCUAGCUGGUCUGAGAGGAUGACCAGCCACACUGGAACUGAGACACGGUCCAG